AGGCAACCAGUCUCAAGGUCCCCCACCUCCAGGAAAGCCACAAGGACCACCCCCACCAGGAGGCAAUCCCCAGCAGCCUCCACCACCUCCUGCUGGAAAGCCCCAGGGACCACCUCCACCUCCUCAAGGUGGCAGACCACCCAGACCUCCCCAGGGACAGCCUCCCCAGUAAUCGAGGUUCAAUGACAGAAACUGAAUAAGAAGAUGACAGUGAUUCAAACGAUUCAAAUGCUGUGACAUUGGAAGAAGGUGGUCAUAGCUCUAACUUCAAUAUACCAAUAAAAUAAUCAGCUU